rnacentral:rRNA from 1 species
GAUGAACGCUGGCGGCAUGCCUAAUACAUGCAAGUCGAACGAGAGGAAGGAAAGCUUGCUUUUCUGAAUCUAGUGGCGAACGGGUGAGUAACACGUAGGUAACCUGCCCAUGUGCCCGGGAUAACUUCUGGAAACGGAUGCUAAAACCGGAUAGGUAGCAGACAAGCAUUUGACUGCUAUUAAAGUGGCUAAGGCCAUGAACAUGGAUGGACCUGCGGUGCAUUAGCUAGUUGGUGAGGUAACGGCCCACCAAGGCGACGAUGCAUAGCCGGCCGGGGAGGGGGGACGGCGACAGUGGGACUGAGACACGGCCCAAACUCCUACGGGAGGCAGCAGUAGGGAAUUUUCGUCAAUGGGGGGAACCCUGAACGAGCAAUGCCGCGUGAGUGAGGAAGGUCUUCGGAUCGUAAAGCUCUGUUGUAAGAGAAAAACGACAUUCAUAGGGAAUGAUGAGUGAGUGAUGGUAUCUUACCAGAAAGUCACGGCUAACUACGUGCCAGCCGCCGCCGUAA